UGCCAACUGGGUGUCUGCACUGAGUUCGGCAUCAAUAUGGUAACUUUCUGGGAGCAGGGGCCCACCAGGUUGCCUAAGGAUGAGUGAACUGGCCCAGAUCAGAGAGGGAGCAGGUCAGAACUCCCGCACUGACCGGUAAUGUGACUGUGCCUGGGCA
rfam:Chlorocebus sabaeus isolate 1994-021 chromosome 26, whole genome shotgun sequence.